rnacentral:ncRNA from 2 species
AAUAUUCAAUACUCGCGAGGUCCUGGAGAAUAAGCAAAGCAUAUGUUUUGCUCCCGGGUUAAAAGGGAAGCCGGUGCAAGUCCGGCACGGUCCCGCCACUGUGAAUCAGGGAUAUCCUCUAUUACUGCCACUGGCCUAUACAGGGCCGGGAAGGCGGAGGUGUCAUUUCAACCUGUAAGUCAGGAGACCUGCCCGCGUAAAUGAUCUGA